rnacentral:rRNA from 1 species
UUGAACGCUGGCGGAAUGCUUUACACAUGCAAGUCGAGCGGCAGCGCGGGGGCAACCCUGGCGGCGAGCGGCGAACGGGUGAGUAAUACAUCGGAACGUACCCAGUUGUGGGGGAUAGCCCGGCGAAAGCCGGAUUAAUACCGCAUAAGUCCUGAGGGAGAAAGCGGGGGACCGUAAGACCUCACGCUUUCGGAGUGGCCGAUAUCGGAUUAGCUAGUUGGUGGGGUAAAGGCCCACCAAGGCGACGAUCCGUAGCUGGUCUGAGAGGACGACCAGCCACACUGGGACUGAGACACGGCCCAGACUCCUACGGGAGGCAGCAGUGGGGAAUUUUGGACAAUGGGGGCAACCCUGAUCCAGCCAUGCCGCGUGAGUGAAGAAGGCCUUCGGGUUGUAAAGCUCUUUCGGACGGAAAGAAACGGUCACGGCCAAUACCCGUGGCUAAUGACGGUACCGUCAGAAGAAGCACCGGCUAACUACGU